rnacentral:rRNA from 1 species
UGGGGAAUUUUGCACAAUGGGGGAAACCCUGAUGCAGCGCCGCCGCGUGAUUUAGAAGGCCUUCGGGUUGUAAAAAUCUUUUCUAUGGGAAGAAAAUGACAGUACCAUAGGAAUAAGGACCGGCUAAUUACGUGCCAGCAGCCGCGGUAAUACGUAAGGUCCGAGCGUUGUCCGGAAUCAUUGGGCGUAAAGGGUACGUAGGCGGGUAAGCAAGUUAGAAGUGAAAUCCUAUAGCUCAACUAUAGUAAGCUUUUAAAACUGCUCAUCUUGAGGUAUGGAAGGGAAAGUGGAAUUCCUAGUGUAGCGGUGAAAUGCGCAGAUAUUAGGAGGAAUACCGGUGGCGAAGGCGACUUUCUGGCCAUAACCUGACGCUGAGGUACGAAAGCGUGGGUAGCAAACAGG